rnacentral:rRNA from 1 species
GAUGAACGCUGGCGGCGUGCCUAAUACAUGCAAGUGGAGCGAACAGACGAGGAGCUUGCUCCUCUGACGUUAGCGGCGGACGGGUGAGUAACACGUGGAUAACCUACCUAUAAGACUGGGAUAACUUCGGGAAACCGGAGCUAAUACCGGAUAAUAUAUUGAACCGCAUGGUUCAAUAGUGAAAGACGGUUUUGCUGUCACUUAUAGAUGGAUCCGCGCCGCAUUAGCUAGUUGGUAAGGUAACGGCUUACCAAGGCAACGAUGCGUAGCCGACCUGAGAGGGUGAUCGGCCACACUGGAACUGAGACACGGUCCAGACUCCUACGGGAGGCAGCAGUAGGGAAUCUUCCGCAAUGGGCGAAAGCUUGACGGAGCAACGCCGCGUGAGUGAUGAAGGUCUUCGGAUCGUAAAACUCUGUUAUUAGGGAAGAACAAAUGUGUAAGUAACUAUGCACGUCUUGACGGUACCUAAUCAGAAAGCCACGGCUAACUACGUG